GCUCUGAGGAAUGUGGAGGGUGUGAAUGAAAAUGCAGUCACUAGGUUUCUAGCUCCAGGUUAUUGGCUGUCUUGUGACCAGAGAAAUAGAAGUCAGAUCUACAUCCCCCGUGGCUGAUGGCCAGGACUGGCAGAGUGAGAAGUUGGAUGUGGCCCAUUCCACAAAGCCCAGGGGAACUAUUCUUCACACAGCUGGAUUUCUGCCUGGGCUUCUAACCAUUGCUUCACCACAUCCUGAGAGUUUCCAGGCUCUUGGCUUCUCAUCCAAAGAAUUGAAAAUAAGGGCUCACACCUAUCUGCAAAAGAAGUAAGAUCAAGGCUGGGCGUUGGUGGUGCACGCCUUUAAUCCCAGCACUCGGGAGG
rnacentral:lncRNA from 1 species